CAAUUACCUUGUAGAUACACUAUGAUACGAUGUAACAACAGCCUAGCUAAUCUUUUGUUUAUUUCCCAGUCAUUUAUUGUGCAUCUACCAUGUGCCGGACACUGCACUGGGCACUGGAGAUACAGGAGAGGAUAAAACAGACAAAAGUCCCCGUCCUUGCGGAAAUCUCCUUGCAGGGAUGGAUGGACAGGAGGAGAUUAUAAAGAGAUAAAUACGAUGAGGCUGGAUGGUAAUGCCUGGAGAAGAAGGAAGUAAAUAGAGGAGGGGCAGGAGACACAGUUGGAGAUAGGGUGCUUGGAGAAUGUGUACGGAUGCCUGGCAUGUGCUCUGAGAAAUGAUUGUCCCUUUUAUGGAUGAGGAGAUGGAGGCCCAGGAAGUAAUCUGCCAACAGCCCUACCAAGCCCAGGCAGCCGGCUGGACCUCCGUGUCUGCAUGUGAGCUCCAGAUUCUGAUCUGAGCCUCUAGGCUCCGGGAUGGAGAAAGGGGACCCGAUCCUCCCAGGCAGAGGCGAGAGGAGACCAGCGGAAAGGAAGAGAUGUCUGAACAAAUUGACCAGUAGAGAUGAAUACAAGGAAAAGGUCCAGGCCUCCUCCCCGAAGCUACGCCCUGCAG
rnacentral:lncRNA from 10 species